ensembl:lncRNA
CUCUAAGAUAGAGUUUGAGGUGUUUAUUAAGGAGGGCUCUGGGAUCAACACCUGUGGAAGGGAGAGGAAGAAACAAGAGUGGGUAGAGGAGAAGUUGAGCUGUGGUGCAGGGCCAACGCCAUGGGCCUCUGGAGCAUAUGUGCCCUUGAGGGGUGUCCUGAGUAGGGCUGAGCUGGAGCCAUCCCAGAAGACCUGACAGAGUUCCCAACAGCUGGGGCAACGAGUCCUUCAGAAGGAGGAUCUGGUGCUGCAGUGCCCUGACCCCACGAUUUGACUCAUGGCUCUCACCUCCCCCACCUGCUCCAAGCACAGUCCCUGGAGAGAAGGAAACAUAGAGACUGAGCCAACCCUGUAUCCUUUGCUUCCCUUCUCCCACCCUCAACAACCUCCAAGUGCCGCCUACAGACCCCAGGGCUAGCUGAGUUCAGAGGCUGUCUAUAAAC